rnacentral:rRNA from 1 species
UAGAAUUCCAGGUGUAGCGGUGAAAUGCGUAGAGAUNUGGAGGAAUACCGAUGGCGAAGGCAGCCAUCUGGCNUAACANUGACGCUGAGGUGCGAAAGCAUGGGGAGCAAACAGGAUUAGAUACCCUGGUAGUNCAUGCCGUAAACGAUGUNUACUAGCCGUUGGGGCCUUUGAGGCUUUAGUGGCGCAGCUAACGCGAUAAGUAGACCGCCUGGGGAGUACGGUCGCAAGACUANAACUCAAAUGAAUUGACGGGGGCCCGCACAANCGGUGGAGCAUGUGGUUUAAUUCGAUGCAACGCGAAGAACCUUNCCUGGCCUUGACAUNGUAAGAACUUUCCAGAGAUGGAUUGGUGCCUUCGGGAACUUACAUACAGGUGCUGCAUGGCUNUCGUCAGCUCCAGUCGUGAGAUGUUGGGUUAAGUNNCCCAACGAGCGCAACCCUUUUCCUUAUUUGCCAGCGAGUAAUGUCGGNAACUUUAAGGAUACUGCNAGUGACAAANUGGAGGAAGGCGGGGACGACGUCAAGUCAUCAUNGNCCUUACGGCCANGGCUNCNCACNNGNUACAAUNGUCNGUACAAAGGGUUGCUACCUAGCGAUNGNANGCUAAUNUCAAAAAGCCGNUCGUAGUCCGGAUNGGAGUCUGCAACUNGACUCCAUGAAGUNGGAAUCGCUAGUAAUCNCGGAUCAGAAUGCCGCGGUGAANACGUUCCC